rnacentral:rRNA from 1 species
AACGCGAAGAACCUUACCUGGGCUCGAAAUGUAGUGGAAUCGGGUAGAAAUAUCCGCGUCUCGCAAGAGACUGCUAUAUAGGUGCUGCAUGGCUGUCGUCAGCUCGUGUCGUGAGAUGUUGGGUUAAGUCCCGCAACGAGCGCAACCCUUAUCUUUAGUUGCCAUCAGGUCAAGCUGGGCACUCUAACGAAACCGCCUCGGAUAACGGGGAGGAAGGUGGGGAUGACGUCAAGUCCUCAUGGCCUUUAUGUCCAGGGCUACACACGUGCUACAAUGGUCGGUACAAACCGUCGCAAACCCGUGAGGGGGAGCUAAUCGGAAAAAGCCGGCCUCAGUUCGGAUUGGAGUCUGCAAUUCGACUCCAUGAAGCUGGAAUCGCUAGUAAUCGCGGAUCAGAACGCCGCGGUGAAUACGUUCCCGGGCCUUGUACACACCGCGAGC